rnacentral:lncRNA from 1 species
CUUCGCAUCAUAACGCUCGUGCUAUCUAUAAUAAUUGCUGUGUGACCACACCUAGUCCAUUAGUAAUUGUACAGACUAAAAUACAAGAUCAUUACUCUGGGAUCUGGGGAUUAACAGGCAGGAAGAGGAUCAGACUGCAUCACAAAGCCUUCAGCAAGCAGAGAAUCACAGCUACAGGGUGAGAGAGGCAGGACUGGGUAAACACAAAGUUCCAUGAAAACCACAUUUUAAGGUAAGAGUUGCUGGAGUCGAAAUUAUACAUAAUAUAUAUAUAUAUUCCAUAAUGUAAAUGGUAUGCAUGGAUUAUUAUCAGUUACGGCAAAGACAAAACUUUGCUCCUGGCUGGAGUUUAGUGGAAAUUAUAUCAAUGUAGAACAGAUGCUAUUAUUAUGUAGCUGUCAUAUUUAUUUCUUUAGUAAGUUGGCCUUAUUAAACACUUUACCCCAUAACAGGACCUGCUUUAACUUGGUUAUUUUACCUUAUACUGUGAUAGGCGUAAUGUGCUUUAAAAGGAAAGAUAAUAUGUUUAUAAAGAUAUGGUCAACCGAUGCUGCAUUUCUAAUAAACUUGUGAUGUCUUUCUUUCUCUUUUCUCCGUCUUUCUUUUUUCUUUCUUUCUCUUCUUUUUUUCUCUCUUUCUCAUUCUCUCUUUCUUUCGAUCUUUCUUUCUUUUUCUUUCUCUCUUUCUUUCUUUCUUUCUUUCAAUCUUUCUUUCUUUUUCUUUCUCUCUCUCAUUCUCUCUUUCUUUUUCUUUCUCUCUUUUUUUUCUUCUAAUCUUGCAGUACGCAGUUCUGUAAGUACGACUCAUAUCAAAUAAGUACAGUAAGGGUUUCAAAGAAUAAUUAACGUCUUUUAAUUUUACAAGAAUAAAAUAUAAAAAUAUAUCCUUUUUAUUAAAUAUUGGAAAAAAACAGUAUGUUUGAUUUCCAUUUAUGUAACUGUGUACAUUUGCUGUGGAAAGUACUUGUUAAACUAUAAUUAUAUUUGACUAGUGCAGGACAUCUUUGAUCCCAUAAACCUUGGUUUGCAAGUACAUUACAAGCAAUUAUGACAUUAAAUAUUUAAGCCUGUAUUGUUGUUUGAAUGGAUUAAUGUUUGAUGCAUGCUGAUGGCAUUGAACAAUGAACGCCAUAAAGGGAAUUGAUUGAAAGGCCACUUUUAGAAUAUCUUCCUAUAAUAAUAGAUGUGAGAAAAAUUGAAAAUAAAGGGAAACCUCUUGAACCAAAUAAAACUAAGAAAUGAUGGUUAUCUACUAAAUAUUACUCUAAAACUGGUGUAUAGGGACACCAUAGAAAACACUCUGUAUAAACAUUAAUACAAAGUAUGUCAGAUAACAAACAAUGUCAAACCAGGAACUAGUAGACAGUGGUGCUAAGCGAUAAAAACGUGUGUGUGUGUAUAUAUAUAUAUAUAUGUAUAUCCGCAUGUAACAGUAUGUAAACUUAGACUUAUUUAGAUUAUACAUUUUAUGCAUUGAUUUAUUUUUAAUCUUUCAAAAUUAUAUCUUAAGUUUUUAUCUGUUAGUACCGCUAUAAUUUAAGAUGUUGUUCAGAAACUAAAUGUACCUCUUUUUUUCACAUAUCAUAUAGGUGCUAUACUAGCUUUUUUGUUUGCAAAACAUACAUUGCAUCAUAACUGUGUUAAUAUUUUAAAUCUGAUUUUUAGAUAUGGUAAUGGCAUAGAAUUACACUGAACUAUAGAAUGGUAAAAUGCAAGAGUAUAUUAUUUAAUAGUAGUAAUUGCAUAAUUUCAUGCUGGAAUUUACAUUAGAUAAUACUAUAUAUUAUUUAAUUGUGUAGCCUAUAUUUUUUUUAAUGCUCACAUUUUUUUUGUACACAUUUUUACAGUUUGGUGAAAUUCAUACUGCACCAAUUUACUUUCAUCUCAUUGUUUUCAAUAUUAGUACAGGCUUUAUGAUAAAAGUACAUGCUUCAUGAUUUAACCAACAGGGUUAUUUACUAAGGUGAGAAUUCAAAGUGAAUUUCAAAUUUAUGGCCAGAAUAGCCAAACUGAUUUUUUCCAGUUUGGUUGUUUUCACCUUGAAUUUGAAAUUAUCUUUGAAUUCACCUUAAAUUCUCAUUUUAAUGAAUAACCUUGUAAUAGAAUAUAGAAACAUAGAAUGAGACGGCAGAUAAGAACCAUGCGGCCCAUCUAGUCUGCCCAAUAUUGCCUUAUAGUCAGGAGAUAAAUUGAUUUCAAAAACAGGCAAUGCAACAAAGUAAACCCCUGUCAGAUAUGUCCAUUAUUAGCAGUAUUUUGUACAUAAUUGGAAAGCGGUACAGGUACAUCCAAAUGAUCCGUAUUUACCUCAAUGUGGUUAUUAUGUAUUAUAUUGACCCGUUAAAUAUUGAUGGCAUGAACUUGCCAGUAUCCUGGUUAAUAUUACAAUGCAUUACCAGUUUGGUAUCCAUAGCCUAAUAAAUGUGUUUAAUGGAGUUCAAUGACUUUCAUGGUAUGUUUGCUGCAGUGUCCUGGCUCUCAGUGGAUUCUCUCUGCUUUGUCUGUACAGGGAGUCUCCAGGCCCAGGUGCAGGGCCAGCUGCAGAUGGUUAUGGCUGCCAGGCAUUCGUUCGCUGUCCAUUUCCUCCUGGUGCUGAGAGAGAUGCUGGCCUUCGUGCUGUUCAGUUACACGGUGCUCAUCGGGGCUCUCUUGGUGGCUGGAUGGACUACUUACCUUCUUGUCCUCAAAUGAUAAUUUUUCGAGAUACUGUAUGGAUUCCCAAAAGGAUGUAGGCAUGCUGUCUCUUUAAGAGUGUAUCCCUCUCCUAUCUCCUGUCUGUUUCUCUCUAAUAAAUUAAUGACAGCGUGCUGCAAUGAUUGCUGAGUAUUAUAUAGUAUGUUAAUAUAGCCCAAUUGUCUGGUAUUAUAUAAGAUUAUAUAUUUAUAUGCCGUAUCAUUUUAUGUUGGAAAUAAUGGACCAGUACUGCCUUUCACACAAUAAUGUUGCUGCUGUUGAUACAAAUAAGUCAGUCGCACAUUGUUAUAUUUAUAUUUUAUAGAGUUAUGUCUGUGCUUGUUACUGGUAUUCCAAAAGGUAUAGGUAAUGUUUCAUACAAUGCAAGCAAUAUAUGGGAAUUAGCCACACACAUCUUCUAUUUAUCACUAGAGGGGGCACAACAUGGGCAAGGCAGAGGGCCUAAAAGGAAAACACAUUGUAUUUUUAUCAUUUUACAGGAAAUAAUGAAGAGUGGAUCACAAGAAUGAAGAUUUAAAUCCAAAUAUUGUAUUUUGCUAGUAGUGAGUUUUCCUUUAUCGACUAUGUUAUUGUAAGUCAGUUGGUUUUGUAGGAUUUUGUCAUGAUACAAUUUUUUAUGCCUACUGUGCAGGUAGCAGUGGAAUGUUGUGUACAGGUUACCCAGGAAUAAAAACCCUUAUAUAUUAUUUAAUGUUGUAUUUUCAGAUUGACUUAUAAGUCAGGUUUGUAACUAUUUAUAUGCCAAACCACAAACUGUUAUAUGUAAAAUGCUGUUGUUGUUGUUGUUGUUUUUUGUGUUUUUUUUUUUUUUAAAUGUAGUUCUCUUUUAUGUGAAUGAAACAAGAUAUUUAAUAUUUAUUUUCCUGGGUAUAUAAUACAACUCUAUUUCGUUAUUAUUAUUUAUUAUUAAUAGUAGUAGUUCUUAUACAACACAAAUGGUUUCCCCAGACGUUACAAUUAUACAGUAGCGGUAUUUACCAAUAGGUAAUUGACACACAGUAAUAAUGUUGACAGACAAAAGAGGUGAAGAAGACCGUGCCGAGUUUACAAUUUAUUGAUGCGUUUAUUGGGCUGAGCACCAGUGGUGUUAAGUAUAAAACAUACAUCAACAGCAUUUCCAUUUACUGGAAGAUGCCAUCUCCUUAUAAUAUCCUCAGUGCACUUAUUGCAUCUCCAGAGAAAUGCCUGAACACAUGAACAAAGACCCCCUCUUUCAGUAGUGCCUGUGACACUGUGUGGGCCAAAUUAAUUUGCAUGCUGUUAUUUGGCUGUGCACAACCCAUAGCUAACGUUAAUCAGGUGUCUGGAUGUACAAAAAUCUCCCAAUAGAAAUUAAAUGGGCACUACUCAUCAUUGAAGUGAUAGAUUAAGCUCUACGUGAUCCUCCAAAUAUCAAAGAGCUUGACUAUGAACCAAAAUUGUACUCUUGGUAUCAACAGCAUAAAAGAAUGGGCUUCAGGGUUGAACGUGGUGGACUCUAGUGUUUUUCCAACCCAGACAACUAUGUAACUAAAGGAAAUAAAGAGGCACAUUUAGAAGUUAGCCCUGGUUAACUUCCUCUGCAUGUAUUCUGUUAAAAUACUGGCACUAGAAUGACAAAAAUCCACAAAAGGUGUAGUUAUUGGGUUAUGUAUUAUAUACCAAAUUAUUCCUAAAUAUUUUAAUUUGUAAAUAGAUUUGUACUUUUAAAGUUUGCCUUGCAGGAUACAUUAAAAUAUGGGUGGCAGUGGGAUUGCUAAGUAUUUUUUUUAUAUUAACUGUCAAACUGCUGCCUUCUUCCCUCAUAUAGUUUACAGCAACUUGGCAGUUUAUAUAAAAUACAGACUAGUAGAACACGCUUUAUUAAACCCCAAUCUUUCAACAGCUUAACAGAAUCUUUUUAAAGUAUUGCUAGAGCCGUGCGUUCCUGCAGCCAGAGAGAUGACAUUUUCCUAUCAAGACACUUUAGGCAAUAUUCUAGAUUCAAUUCCUGAAAAAGUCUUGAAAUGGUCAGGCCUCCUCGUAAAUGUCUGUGCAUUGGGCAUUUGAGGCCAAUUCAGUCUAUUAUGUGUGCUAACAGAGUGCAUGUAGAUUGUUGUCCUGUUACUUCUGUAAUGGCUUUAUACUGUAAUUAAUUAUUUAAUAGAAAAACAGAAUGUAAUAAACCAAUUACUUUACAA